rnacentral:misc_RNA from 1 species
AACGAGGCCGACCUGCGGCUGAGUUACCUGCGGAGGGAUCAUUACCGAGUUUACAACUCCCAAACCCCUGUGAACAUACCUAUACGUUGCCUCGGCGGAUCAGCCCGCGCCCUGUAAAACGGGACGGCCCGCCCGAGGACCCUAAACUCUGUUUUUAGUGGAACUUCUGAGUAAAACAAACAAAUAAAUCAAAACUUUCAACAAUGGAUCU